GAUAAACGCUGGCGGCGCACAUAAGACAUGCAAGUCGAACGGAAGUCGUUUUAGUGAUUCUGAUAUGAAAGAUUUAUCCGGAUUUGAAGAUGAUCUAAAACAAUGGCUUUAGUGGCGGACUGGUGAGUAACACGUAAGCAACCUGCCUGUUAGAGGGGAAUAACAACGAGAAAUCGUUGCUAAUACCGCAUAUGCCAUAAGAACCACAUGGUUCUAGUGGGAAAGGAGUAAUCCGCUAACAGAUGGGCUUGCGUCUGAUUAGAUAGUUGGUGGGGUAACGGCCUACCAAGUCGACGAUCAGUAGCCGGACUGAGAGGUUCAACGGCCACAUUGGGACUGAGAUACGGCCCAGACUCCUACGGGAGGCAGCAGUCGGGAAUAUUGCGCAAUGGAGGAAACUCUGACGCAGUGACGCCGCGUAUAGGAAGAAGGUUUUCGGAUUGUAAACUAUUGUCUGCAGGGAAGAAACAAGACUGUACCUGCAAAGAAAGCUCCGG
rnacentral:rRNA from 1 species